rnacentral:rRNA from 1 species
AGCAGCCGCGGUAAUUCCAGCUCCAAUAGCGUAUAUUAAAGUUGUUGCAGUUAAAAAGCUCGUAGUUGAAUUUCGGGAUCAAUAUGUCGGUCGUGCCUUGGUACGCACUGGUAUCAUUGGUCUCCCCUUUCUGACGAACCAUGGUGUCAUUAAUUUGGUGUUAUGGGAAGUUAGGACUGUUACUUUGAAAAAAUUAGAGUGUUUAAAGCAGGCUUUAGCUUGAAUACAUUAGCAUGGAAUAAUGAAAUAGGACGUUCGAACCUAUUUUGUUGGUUUCUAGGAUCAACGUAAUGAUUAAUAGGGAUAGUUGGGGGCAUUAGUAUUCAAUUGUCAGAGGUGAAAUUCUUGGAUUUAUUGAAGACUAACUACUGCGAAAGCAUUUGCCAAGGAUGUUUUCAUUAAUCAAGAACGAAAGUUAGGGGAUCGAAGACGAUCAGAUACCGUCGUAGU